rnacentral:rRNA from 1 species
UACGUAGGGUGCGAGCGUUAAUCGGAAUUACUGGGCGUAAAGCGUGCGCAGGCGGUGAUGUAAGACAGAUGUGAAAAUCCCCGGGCUCAACCUGGGACCUGCAUUUGUGACUGCAUCGCUAGAGUACGGCAGAGGGGGAUGGAAUUCCGCGUGUAGCAGUGAAAUGCGUAGAUAUGCGGAGGAACACCGAUGGCGAAGGCAAUCCCCUGGGCCUGUACUGACGCUCAUGCACGAAAGCGUGGGGAGCAAACAGG